UACGGAGGGGACUAGCGUUGUUCGGAAUUACUGGGCGUAAAGCGCACGUAGGCGGAUUUGUAAGUCAGGGGUGAAAUCCCGGGGCUCAACCUCGGAACUGCCUUUGAUACUGCAAAUCUCGAGUCCGGAAGAGGUGAGUGGAAUUCCUAGUGUAGAGGUGAAAUUCGUAGAUAUUAGGAAGAACACCAGUGGCGAAGGCGGCUCACUGGUUCGGUACUGACGCUGAGGUGCGAAAGCGUGGGGAGCAAACAGG
rnacentral:rRNA from 1 species